UACGUAGGGUGCAAGCGUUAAUCGGAAUUACUGGGCGUAAAGCGUGCGCAGGCGGUUUUGUAAGUCUGUCGUGAAAUCCCCCGGGCUCAACCUGGGAAUUGCGAUGGAGACUGCAAGGCUAGAAUCUGGCAGAGGGGGGUAGAAUUCCACGUGUAGCAGUGAAAUGCGUAGAUAUCUGGAGGAACACCGGUGGCGAAGGCGGCAUCCUGGACCAAUUCUGACGCUGAGGAGCGAAAGCCAGGGGAGCAAACGGG
rnacentral:rRNA from 1 species